GUGAAUCAUCGAAUUUUUGAACGCAAAUUGCACUCUCCGCGGAAAGUAUGCCCGUUUUAGGUUCAGCCUAUAAAAAUCGACAUCGUUGCCGUUUCGCGGUUGCGUUCGUCGGAAAUUGGUUCAUCUUAAAUCCUCUUGGUUUAAGUGACUUAGAAUUUUCUUUUGUUUCCAUGCUCGUUUCUUUGAUCUUUUGCUUUACACGUUUAAGGUAUCGAUUUUUACUAUACGUGACCAUUAUAUCGGAUCGCUUCCAUAAUCUUUCAUUAACUGACCUCAGACAGGU
rnacentral:misc_RNA from 1 species